UACGUAGGGAGCAAGCGUUGUUCGGAUUUACUGGGCGUAAAGGGCGCGUAGGCGGCGCGGUAAGUCACUUGUGAAAUCUCUGAGCUUAACUCAGAACGGCCAAGUGAUACUGCAGUGCUAGAGUGCAGAAGGGGCAAUCGGAAUUCUUGGUGUAGCGGUGAAAUGCGUAGAUAUCAAGAGGAACACCUGAGGUGAAGACGGGUUGCUAGGCUGACACUGACGCUGAGGCGCGAAAGCGUGGGUAGCAAACGGG
rnacentral:rRNA from 1 species